rnacentral:lncRNA from 1 species
GCAAUUCUCACUUCAAACAUUCAGAGUGAGUUUGUUAGGGUAAAAGAAAGAAUGUGGCCCUCCCCAGAGGGUUGACUCAUUGAAAACUGCAUGAUUAUCGAAUAUCCCCUCCUCCGGUAUAAGAGGCAUAGAUGGUACCACCAUAGUAUAAGAGAGAUUUUGUACAACCUAUCUUGCUUGGGAUAUUUGCUCUGUUACAACCUACAGGAGGCACGGCACCCUCAUGAAAAAUGAUGGAUUAGUGGGGCGCGGUGUCUCAAGUUCUAAAUUGGAUUAGACACAUGUUGUUCAGCAACCCUGUUCUAAAUUGGAUUAGACACAUAUUGUUCAUUACCCCUAGCAUAGUAUGAGUUCUGGCACUAUAACAUCGGCCAUGCCAUUGGGGGAUAUCCCAACAGAAGAGACAUUUGCUUAUAAACCCUAAUUAUUAUGGCAUAAUACAUUUCAUCUCAGUCCCCUCUAUAGAGUUGUCACAAAUCAUAUAAUCCAAAGAAUACCCCUUUUUUCUUUUUAUUCCUGCAUAUCUUGAUAAGAGAGGUCAGAAUCAUAAGUCAUCGGACCCGCCAAACAAGCACCGACCCUCGAGCCAUCAGCCUGGGGUGGGGAAACGAUGCGUCAUUAGAACUACUUGAGUAGGGGCAGUUACAACAGCCUUGAUUCCAGAGUACUCAGCAGCUUUCACGUUCGGAUUGCGGCAGACUACACAUGUUCAUUUAACGCUUUCUAAGCAGUUUUGUUUCACUCAUAUUAAUAGACUAUAUGGUUUCACUCUCAUUGACCCGAAUUAGAAAGAACUAACUCAAUCUCUACAGGCAGGAAUCGAACCCUCUAACCCAUUUUUGACCAAAAGCAAGUGUAGUUUGUUUGCUAGAGUCAUUAAUAUUAGAAAUCCCUGUUAGCAAAGAGUAUGCCUGCGUGUUCCGACGAUGGCCCAAUAGCUGGACUGAAAGAAAGUAGUUAAUCAGGUCGCCGAGUCAACUAAUCACAUUCCAUAAUUGUCCCCCUUAGCGUUUGCGCUUACGGAGUGUAGUUGUGCGUUUGCUUGUUGCAUAAGAUUGAAACUCACUUAAAGAAAGUCGAAUGUCUUUUGGAAUUGUUGAUCGAAAGGCUUGUCAAGUAAAAGCUUAAGGUGUAUUUUCUUCUUUGCUAGAAGUUUGAGUGCAAAAACUCUCUUUUGAGGAUGGGAAGGGUCACUGCCUGAAUGUCGAAUGAACUCGGCAAAUGACCUAAAUAGAAAGGCCGCGAAGAAAUAUCCGAGUACACUUGCCAUCGUAUCUGGAAAAGGCGGGAAAGGACCAAUAUUCAUAUGCAAGGCAGUAUAUCGGGAUUCUACCAGACCACGAAUGUGGCACAAGAUCAGCUAACUAUUCGACCAUUUGGCUUAGCAAAGACUAGUAGGGACAAUCUAUCUCUAUCCUUAGCAAAGACUAGUGGGGGCAAUCUAUCUCUAUCCUUAGCAAAGACUAGUGGGGGCCAAUCUAUCUCUAUCUCAGCUCCUUAACCACUCCUACAGCAAAAGACAUAAUCCAAGACUAUAAAGCUCAUUACUUGACUCAUAAUCACCUGAUGAUUAACAGGCAAAGAAGCUCUCUUAUCUGACUCUUACACCUGAUGAUUAACAGGCAAAGAAGCUCUCUGACUCUUAUAUAAUAACUUCGAGAGGAAAAAAGCUUCGCUUCCUUUGAAUUGCCGCCCAUCUUAACAGGAAGAGAAGGCUAUCUGCUCGGAUUCAUAUGUUUGUAUUCAAAUCCAGAGGCAAUACCAAUUCAGAGAAGGGGGCUUGCUCGAUUCGCAGAUAGGUCCGACAGUAUCAAAGAACUAACAGAGCAAUAUCGGUAAGCCAUCAACUUUGCGAGCCCACUCGUUAUUCAAGAGAGUCUCUGAUUAGAAGGCAGCGUGAGAAGCUAAGACCAAAAUCUCACAUUUCUUUCCUGCCGACCCCUGUUCUUAGCCUAACUCCAAACCACUCUUGCUUGAAAUGUUAGUUCAAAACCCGUUUUAGGGCGUUGGCCGUAUAACACCUUGUCGACAUUCUUGAAGCUACUAGUCUGGGAAGGGCCAAGUGAGUUCCAUCUCUAUCUGCUGAACGAGGAGCCCUUUCUUUCUAUUUGGGGAAUAGCUUUUAAUCAGGAAUAACCAGGAAAAGAAGCAUGAUAACGAGCCUAGCGGAAGGGGGAAAUCUCGAACUUCCAGAAUGAAUGCCCUUAGAAGACCAGGCCGGGAGACGACGUCUGAGAGAAUGCUUGGCCUCCCAUACGUCUGCAUAGAAAGAAAGCAAUACAUACGAUAGACGAAAGAAGCCCCCACCCCAUCCUGCUUGAGGGUUUUCGCAGCCAGCUUCUUGACUUAUUGGCUUAUUGAAUAAGAUUCGCUGCCCAUCUAGUAAUCUCUAGCUCGGCUUAGGUUAUAGAGGGAGGAGAUUUACGGAUAAGUUUAGCGUCGCGAUCUAUUGAAUGAAAGGCAGGAAUGAAUGGACGGAUUGCUUGAUCUAAAAUAGGAUCUAUCUUUCUUUGUUACCGUGACAGAUGCUAGGAAGAGAAAGCUUAUCAUUGUUUGGUUCCGCGGGGCCACACCCUAUCGAGAGCAGGAUGAUCACCAAAGUCAACCAUCGCGUCAGCCCUUGAGAGUAAGGGGUUUGCAAGUGACUCCUCCUCCCGACAGUACAUCAGCCCUUUUCCAGUCCCCCCUCCGCUCGGGAGAUUAGGCUUUCAGCACCUUCUUUUUCUCGCUCACAUGGCACUACAGUGUACAGGGUAUUAUGCACUUUCUCCAUAAUCAAAGCAAAAGCACUAACAAGAUGAAGGCUCGGAUUCUCGAUGCAGGGAAUACAGGGAAAACAACCCUCUGUCCCUUAAUCCUCUGAUGGGCAUGUCCCUCAGAUAGGGUAAAGAAACAAUAGGUACUUCUAACUAUGCAAUCAAUAGAAUAUCUAAAUAAACGAAAGCCACAUCAGGCCUGCACCCACAGAGCAACACUUUGGAAUAGAAAAAUCCCCCCUAGUGCAUUGGGAUGCCGUUGAAACGAAACCCGAUCAUUCACGGACACGAUCUUUAUUGCUUUCUUUCUUUACCACGUGUAUAUUGCUUUAGUGGACUCUUUUGAAUAUCAGCACGCUCUAAACCAGAUGUUGCUUGGCCCUAUUACCUUACUGCCGGUGCUUUCAUUCCUAUUGUUACAACCGCUUCCCGCUUCAUGCAGAAACCCUUAACAGCGGCUUCUUAUCCUUAAGCCUGAAGCUGUAUGCUGUGCUCUCAUUCUGUCCUCUCCUACUGCUAGCUCUCAAACAGCUCUUACCGGUAAACAGUAGCCGAAACAAUCUUCUAACAUUGGUCAAGAGGGUAGGAAGUAUCCAAGGAUAUAAAAUGAAUGUUGCUUCACUUGGAUAGAAAAGACGACAUCAGCCAUAUGUAUCAAUUGGAAAGAAAGCAGACAUCCAUCCCUUUUCAUCCUAUGCCGAUACACUGUAAGGUUCGACUAAGCAUUCACAGUAGAUAAGACGUAAGCUGGGAUUUAUAUAAUAUUCAUUCGUCCAUGACAUACUACCACCUAUUGAUAGAUCCACCUUCAUGCCUACCACCUAUUGAUAGAUCCACCUUCAUUCCCUUCUUCCUAUGGUUAGUGGAGCCUUUACCAUCUUAAUCUUAUUAUUAUUGUAUACUAUUUGGUUUGCAAUGUAGUCCCAGACCUAAUAAAUGUAAUCGCUGGACCUGCUAUUGCAUGUUUAUGAUCAGCUCUCUCAUCUUUCACUGCUAGGUUUCCGUCCGCUACGCUAGCCUAUUUCGUAGUUUCAGGUGGUUAAAUACUGCCUUCGCUUCGAUCCGUUGACCCGGGCAACCUCGCCCCUCAUCGCUUGUUCGAGAGCUAGAACAAACAACACCGGUUAGAUUCGAUUGCUAGCCAGGGGAAGGGGAUAUCCUUUCUAUUGGUAAGUUCUUAGCAGAUAUAAAAGAAAGGUGCACAAAGCUACGUGCGUGGGCUAUAAGAACUAACGCUAUAGGCUCACGCGAACUCACUCCCGGCCAUAUAAGACCAAACACUAACAUACCUGGCAGUGUCUCAUGUUUCUUUCAUCGCGUAAUACAGUCUUAAGCCAAUGUUUGAUAUAGAGUAAUACUGUCUUCCGCCAAGCUGCUAAUCCCUAGAGCUAGAGAAAUAAGAAGUCCGGGUUGGCAAAGUCAACUUCACUUCCUUAUAGCUAGAGCUAGAGAAAUAAGAAGUCCGGGUUGGCAAAGUCAACUUCCUUAUAGAUUAGCAGUUUUUACAAGAAAGGAGUUUCACUUAUACAUUCGUUUUUCAAAGAGUGGAUUAGAGGGUUAGCAUGGAAUUACUUAAGUGGAUUAGAGGGUUAGCAUGGAAUUACUUAAGAAUGAGCACGAUUACUUCAAAAUAGACUGAGCACGAGGCUUACAUACUCGGAUUGUAGGGUUCCUCAGCCCAUUACGUUCAAGCUGAGCACGCUUAUUCACAUGAGAAAGAUGAUAGCAUAGAUUAUACCUUCCAUGAGAAAGAUGAUAGCAUAGAUUAUACCUUCUUGGGACCUGCCUUAAUCCAUUUCCAUCCUUGGCUGAAACUAGAAGUGACUAUAAGCCUUUUCUUCCUAUUGUUUGAUCUUAAUGGCGAUCCCCUGAUGUUCAUGCCAUGUAGAACGAGGUAGGUAUUUACAAAUUCCGUAGCAGCUGUAAGCCCUCCUCCUUCCAUGUGGCACCGCGCUCCCGAUCUCCAAGUCUUCUCUUCGGGGUAACCCUUCCAAAAGCACGUCCUCUGACCUCUUUAAGAAACCGACAAGUAACAGCUAACCAACCUUUACUUAAAUGGAAAGGAUGAGACCAAAGUCCCAAUACCUAAAACCAAUCACACUAUAAUAUAACCUCUUCCAAAUAGGAUAUCUACAGGGGCAGUCAAAUCAGAAUGAGGGAAAGGACGGAAUCCGCAGCUAGUGGGCUAGCGCCGAAGGAUUCUCACUCUCCAAGCAAGAAAGGGCAAGCAAGGUGCUGAAAGCCUACUAAAUAGGAAUGCUGCCACUACUGAUAAGGCUGAAAUCACUACCGGAAAGAGCUGGACUGGGAACUCGGGAGCUAACUACUGAUCUGGAUCUUUGUCUGUUUGCUUUUCAACUGAUACUCAUGACAGUUAAGUUAGCCUUACACCCUUCCUUUACUUAUUUGAUUGACUUAUUUGAGAAUAUGUUUUCGUAUCUCAAUCCAGUACUGCUAUAUUAUUAGCUUUAUUCUCUAUUAGGUGUUUCUGUCUUAUUGGUAGCAUUUGCAUUCUUUAUAGCAUUGGUUUGACUCCGCUAUUAGUAGCUGGGUUCCCACUUCUUAGUGUAAGUAUUAGAAACUUAGUGUAAGUAUUAGAAACACUCUUUCCCGCUCUCUUGGUCUGUAACUCCCAACCCUGAAACUGAUACCCUUGCCUUCCAUUCUGUAGGGAACCCUCGCCAGAGGUUCUUCCAAUCAUAUCUUUGACUCUUACUUAUUCAUUUCAUUAUUCAUUUAAGUUACUCAGUUCACUUAUAUGAUAUUGAUUAGUCAGUUAUUAAGUAUAGAGGUCAACAAACAGCAAGUACUAUUUCGAUUUUAUGAUCCAAAACCU